CGGCGGACGGGUGAGUAACGCGUGGGUAACCUACCCUGUACACACGGAUAACAUACCAAAGGUAUGCUAAUACGGGAUAAUAUAUUUGAGAGGCAUCUCUUAAAUAUCAAAGGUGAGCCAGUACAGGAUGGACCCGCGUCUGAUUAGCUAGUUGGUAAGGUAACGGCUUACCAAGGCGACGAUCAGUAGCCGACCUGAGAGGGUGAUCGGCCACAUUGGAACUGAGACACGGUCCAA
rnacentral:rRNA from 1 species